AUUGAACGCUGGCGGCAUGCCUUACACAUGCAAGUCGAACGGUAACAGGUCUUCGGAUGCUGACGAGUGGCGAACGGGUGAGUAAUACAUCGGAACGUGCCCGAUCGUGGGGGAUAACGAAGCGAAAGCUUUGCUAAUACCGCAUAAGAUCUACGGAUGAAAGCAGGGGACCGCAAGGCCUUGCGCGAACGGAGCGGCCGAUGGCAGAUUAGGUAGUUGGUGGGAUAAAAGCUUACCAAGCCGACGAUCUGUAGCUGGUCUGAGAGGACGAACAGCGACACUGGGACGGAGACACGGCCCAGACUCCUACGGGAGGCAGCAGUGGGGAAUUUUGGACAAUGGGCGAAAGCCUGAUCCAGCCAUGCCGCGUGCAGGAUGAAGGCCUUCGGGUUGUAAACUGCUUUUGUACGGAACGAAAAGACUCUUUCUAAUAAAGAGGGUCCAUGACGGUACCGUAAGAAUAAGCACCGGCUAACUACGUGCCAGCAGCCGCCGCGG
rnacentral:rRNA from 1 species